rnacentral:rRNA from 1 species
CCAGACUCCUACGGGAGGCAGCAGUGGGGAAUAUUGCACAAUGGGCGGAAGCCUGAUGCAGCAACGCCGCGUGCGGGAUGACGGCCUUCGGGUUGUAAACCGCUUUCGCCUGUGACGAAGCGUGAGUGACGGUAAUGGGUAAAGAAGCACCGGCUAACUACGUGCCAGCAGCCGCGGUGAUACGUAGGGUGCGAGCGUUGUCCGGAUUUAUUGAGCG